UACGUAGGUGGCAAGCGUUGUUCGGAAUUAUUGGGCGUAAAGGGCGCGUAGGCGGCUUGUUAAGUCAGUUGUGAAAGCCCGGGGCUCAACCCCGGAGGGUCGACUGAUACUGCGGGGCUAGAGUGCAGAAGGGGCAACUGGAAUUCUCGGUGUAGCGGUGAAAUGCGUAGAUAUCGAGAGGAACACCUGCGGCGAAGGCGGGUUGCUGGGCUGACACUGACGCUGAUGCGCGAAAGCGUGGGGAGCGAACAGG
rnacentral:rRNA from 1 species